GGAGGGGUGCCGGAGCGGUCGAACGGGGACGUCUUGAAAACGUCUGGCCCUUCAACAAGGCCCGUGGGUUCGAAUCCCACCCCCUCUG
rnacentral:tRNA from 1 species